CCUCACCCCAUCUGUUCAGCAUUUUAAAGGGACACAGGUGAAUACCACAGACUGUUUCUGUCCAAAGGCAGAUGUUGGAGGAGCAGUGGUGUCACCCCUGCUUAGGGUGCACCCUGGUGUUGUCCACAUACCUCACAUCCCCCUAAUGAUGUGACUGCCAUAAAACAUAAAAUAUUUUCCAGUUACUCCUUGUUCCAAGGAAUAGUUCUUUCUGAGUUGUACUCAGGCUUGCAUCCUUCUGAGGUCGCUAAAAUGAGUACCCAGACUGUUGGGGGCAAAUUAGCUUACUUGCUAAUUAGCUUACUUGUUGUUAACCGCUAUGAUCUUUGGAAUAGCGGUAUAUAAAUAAAACAAAUUAUUAUUGUUAUUAUAUGUAGUCAAUAAAAUAUACCAAUUUCUAUUCCAAUUCUAGUGCUAUUAUUUAAUAAAUACUCAAGCCCUGAGGAAUAUUAUGUUUAUUUAGGAUGAGAAUAUAAGUCAGUGGAAGUUCAGAAGAGAUAACUGGGUUCAAAAAGUUUUGAGAACUGUUUUUUUUUAACUGAUACUGACACAUUUCUACCCAGUGAAACCUUAGCUUCUGUUUCAGUAGUAGGGGGUACAUUGUUAUUAAACUAGAUUUGCUCAUAUAUAGAUACUUUACUGUAGUUACCUCAUUAACUCUUCUGUAAGGGAGAAGCUUCUUGUGCCGCCUUAGCUGCUUCUCACUGUCUUAUCCCAAGUCAAUCAGUGUCUCUCUGUAAGAUCACUUCCAAAUAAAUUGUGCUGGUGGGGUUGGCCCAGCUGUGCAGCCAGUGCUCUUUCUUUUUAAAGUGUGCAAUUCUGAGAAGACAGCACAUCCCAUUUCAUUUGAAAAUGAGCCUAUCAAGAUGUCUCUGUGAAGAUUGUUGUAUGUCUUUGAUAGUAGUUAUGCUUCUAAUAUAAGAGGUGAAGAAAGUACAGAAUCUGCAAACACACCCCAUCAGUUCCACAAAGCCCACUCCUAACCCCCUAAAAUGUGUUGUGAAUUUUAUUUCCAUCAUAGUUUGGGACUAAUAUUUGCAUAAGAAUCACUCCCCAAACCUCCCAAACACAUGCCCAAAAACACACAAAAAGCACUCCUCAAAGUCCUCAGGUUCCCCACCCCCUUAAAUACUUCUUUCAUGCUGUUCUCCCACCAAAAUGGUGAUAGAAAGUGUCACUCCUGGUCACCAUUUCAGAGGAGAAAAGGUGGGAAACAGUAAAUAUUUUGGCAUGCAAGCAUGUUUGGGGAUGGGAAAUUGGCCUUUGCUAAGUUGCCCUCCCUUAUUUGAAUAGAUAAAUGAAAAUAACUUCUGUAGUAUUAUAAAAUGUUUAAUGCUGCUUUAAAACGUUGCUAAUAUUGGUUAUCUUGGUUAACCAAGAUUGAAGUAACAAGUGAUUAUAAUCUAACAUAUCUGAUGUAUCAUUUUAAUGCUAUAUUGUCAUAUUGUUUUUAAAAUGUUUAAUAACAUUUAAAAAAACAUUGCUAAUAUUUUCUGAAUGUGACUUACAAGCUUUUGCUCUUAUUUCAUACUUGUAUUGUUUAGGUUAGGAUAGAUGAAUAUGAUUUUUCUAAACCAAUCGAAGGACAACAGAAGAAAACAUUUGAACAACAUUGGAGAAAGCACACCCUCUCUUAUGUAGAUGCCAAGACUGGGAAGGUUACGCUGGAAUAUAGACCUGUAAUUGACAAAACCCUGAAUGAAGAAGACUGUGCCACAGUUCCACCUGCUAUUCGCUCCUAUUAGUGAAUUUAAUUCUGCUUUCUACCUGCUGUUUGCUCCUAUCCGUAUUCCACUAGCUAUUCACUCAUAUCAGUGAAUUUAGUUCAACUUUCGAUGUUGUUUGGAAGUUUCUUGGUGUAAGUGUGAGAGUACUUUACCAGAUAGUUGUUGAUCUAUGGCUGCAGCAGUUUUCAUUGCAACAAUCAGGAAGCUUUGCAUUCUGGUCAAUGGCUUCAUUUUUUAUUGGGCAUGGCUAUAUAAAGCUCAUUCUGAAAAGUAUAUUUGCAGUUUCUCAAUUUCCAUGACUAUCUGGAGCUCGAAAGAGAUUAAAUUGUGUCAGUACAAAUGCUAAUCUGCCAAAUGCAUCCUGAUUUCAUACUUCAUGGACAUAUAUGCUUAAUACUGCAGGUCAGAAUUCUCCAGCCUGGUUCCCUACAGUGUAUAAGCCCUAAGCAACAUGACUAAUGUUCAAAUGUAAGAGAAAUUGUGAUCUAAAACAUGUGUAGGACAUCAGAUUGGGGAAGGCUGCUUUAAAUUAUCCCUGUGUACAAUGUAUUAAGAAUGUAGCAUGAUAGGCAGGAAAAAAGAUCUCUUCUAUCAUCAGGGAAAUAGUAUGUUAAAAUCUCCCUGAAAACUUCUGAACAUGUUUUUGAUAUACAAAAUAAUGCUACUGGGAUUAGGAUUGUGGAAUAUGCAGAGUAAACCUUUUUAGCAAAGUUUGAGUUCCACAUAGCACAAAAAAAGGUGAUUUGGGCGGGAGACAUACUGGUAAAAAGUAGCGUGGUGGCGGCGGCGGCAGUAGGGUUAGGGAGUGCACACCAUUCAUACGUUCCCUAACCCUAGUACGUACUAGGGUUAGCCUAGUACGUAUUGGGAGCAAAAAAUGGCAGUGCCCUGUCUACAUGGGCACCACCAUAUUGACAUAAUGGACGCUUAGCGUCUGCACAUCCCACAUUGCAGCGUCACAAUCGUGCUGCAGAAAGAACCUGCUUUUUGCUGGUUCUUUUUGUUCUGCGAUGGACCCGCACGGUUUGGCUGCUGCGGCUCCCUCAUGGAGCAAACCAGGGCAGUGGGAGACUGCCCUUUUUGGGCGGUCUGUAUCUCACUUUGGUUUAAUAAUCAUUUGUUAAAUAACCAUUUUAACUCCAAACCAUGCUGUAUAUAACACACACACAAAAUUAGUAAGAGAACAGUCUUCCCUGUUUCAUAUUUCAGUUUAUAUGCUUAAAUAUUCAAACAUCUUUUAUCCUAAUUUAUUUAGUUCAUUGAAGAAAUUUUGACUUCCAGUAAAUUUCUUACCAUUUUUGUAUCUGGAGAUAAUACUUGUGAAACAAUACAGAGCUUUUGUCAUGUAUUUUUACCAGGAGCUGGAAAUUGUGUAGCCCUCUAGAAGUUGCUCAAUGCCGUUCCUAGCAGUGCUAUUGAAAGUAAUGCUGAGAGUUACAGCUCAAUAAUGAUCCAGGAGGCCACACAGUUGUCACCUGGGAUUUCUGUUUAUGCAGAUAUAUUCUGGUCUAUAAAUGGGUCAGCUAUCUGGCAAAUUACUCCUGCCAAACAUUUUAUUUACAAAUUGAGGGUUAUGUUAACCUGUCCUUGUUUAAUUUUGAGUUGCUAAAUCUGAGAAAGAAGAGAGGCUAUGCUAUUCAGUGUGUGUGUUUCAGGGUUUGGGAACACAAUUAUGUGCAGAAAAAUGCUAUCGCACCUUUUAUAUCAUAGGAGGAAAUUGUGCAUCCCUUCUGAUGUUGCUGGAUUUCAAAUCCAUGGAGCCCUAUCCAGUAUAGCAAUGGUAGGGACUGUUGCAAGUCCUCAUUCUGUAACAUCUAGAAAUACACACUCCUGCUUUGCACAUUAAAAAUUUAAGGCCA